rnacentral:sRNA from 1 species
AUUCCUGUUACUUGAACCAGUUGACAAGGGAGGGCCGCAACGUCCAUCUUGGACCAUUUGCGUAACACCUUCAACAACCCGUCGGAAAAAAAAAAAAUCUGAGAGGGUUGCCUUGCUUGGUCUAUUUUUAACCUUUUCCCCUUGAAGGCCGAAUGGCACGGCUUCAUAUGCAAGCCACUCAUGAGUUUACUGUUCUGGAAAUCUCAAAAGGGAGGUGAAUAAGACACCCCGAGCUCUUGUGGAUUGUCUCACAGACAGGGGAUUCGAUCCAGACGACACUUUCAAAGGAUCACAGUAAUAAAAUAUCUCUAGCUCUCAGUCACAGUAUCAUCAUACAUCGGCUCCAUUUUACGAUGGUAGCCGAUGAUCGAGAGCACCUAGAGUAUGGCCAAGGUGGAGCAUGUAUUUCGUCAUGAUGCGCAACCAAAAUUGGAUGGCAAGCAAAACUCCUGGUGAAAUUUUCUCCUCUUGAGCAAGGAGGUCAUUUUGCGGUCAGAUUGUCGGAGGUUGGCGAUGCUUGAGAAAGUUUCUGGCUAAGUUAGG